rnacentral:lncRNA from 1 species
GUACCAUAGGGUGUUGUCUGGGGGGGCUGUCAUUGGGAGUACCAUAGGGUUGUUGUCGUGGGUGGGCUGUCAUUGGGAGUACCGUAGUGUGGUGUCUGGGUGGGCUGUCAUUGGGAGUACCAUAGGGUGUUGUCUGGGGUGGGCUGUCAUUGGGAGUACCAUAGGGUGGUGCACUGUGUUGUCUGGGGUGGGCUGUCAUUGGGAGUACCAUAGGGUGUUGUCUGGGGUGGGCUGUCAUUGGGAGUACCAUAGGGUGUUGUCUGGGGGGGUGGGCUGUCCCAUUGGGA